rnacentral:rRNA from 1 species
UACGGGGGGUGCGAGCGUUGUCCGGAAUCACUGGGCGUAAAGGGCGCGUAGGUGGCGUCGUAAGUUUGUGGUGAAAGCCCGGGAGCUCAACUCCGGGUCUGCCGCGAAUACUGCGAGGCUUGAGUACUGUAGAGGGGGGUAGAAUAUCGGGUGUAGCGGGUGGAAUGCGUAGAGAGUCCGAUAGAAGACCGGUGGCGAAGGCGGCCCCCUGGGCAGUAACUGACACUGAGGCCGCGACAGCGUGGGGAGCAAACAGG